UCUAACUCCGUUCCAGCGGCCUCGUUAAGUCGGUGGUUUCAGGCGGUGGCCGGAAUCACGGGGGGUAGAUGGCGCGUAGGCGGCUUGAUAAGUCGCUUUUGAAUUCCCGUUGCUCAUGGACGGGUCGGCAUGUGUGUCUGUCUGGCUGGAGCUUGGUAGGGGCGAGUGGAAUUCCCGGUGUAGCGGUGGAAUGCGUAGAGAUCGGGAAGAACACCGGUGGCGAAGGCGGCUCGCUGGGCCAAUGCUGACGCUGAUGCGCGAAAGCGUGGGGAGCAAACAGGAUUAGAUACCCCAGUAGUC
rnacentral:rRNA from 1 species